AGGACGAACGCUGGCGGCGUGCUUAACACAUGCAAGUCGAGCGAGGCCCUUCCUUCGGGAAGGUGCCCUAGCGGCGAACGGGUGAGUAACACGUGGGCAACCUGCCCCUAGCACUGGGAUAACUCCGGGAAACCGGGGCUAAUACCAGAUAUGACCUUCUUGGGCAUCCUCGGAGGUGUAAAGGAUUCUGGCUAGGGAUGGGCCCGCGGCCUAUCAGCUUGUUGGUGGGGUAAUGGCCUACCAAGGCGACGACGGGUAGCCGGCCUGAGAGGGUGACCGGCCACACUGGGACUGAGACACGGCCCAGACUCCUACGGGAGGCAGCAGUGGGGAAUCUUGCACAAUGGGCGAAAGCCUGAUGCAGCGACGCCGCGUGAGGGAUGAAUGCCUUCGGGUUGUAAACCUCUUUCAGCAGGGACGAAGCGAAAGUGACGGUACCUGCAGAAGAAGCACCGGCCAACUACGUGCCAGCAGCCGCGGUAA
rnacentral:rRNA from 1 species